UACAACCUGCUUGAAUGAGGCU
rnacentral:miRNA from 1 species